CAGCAGCCGCGGGAAUACGAAGGGUGCAAGCGUUAAUCGGAAUUACUGGGCGUAGAGCGUGCGUAGGCGGUUUGUUAAGCCUGUUGUGAAAUCCCCGGGCUCAACCUGGGAAUGGCAAUGGAUACUGGCAAGCUAGAGUGUGUCAGAGGAUGGUGGAAUUCCCGGUGUAGCGGUGAAAUGCGUAGAGAUCGGGAGGAACAUCAGUGGCGAAGGCGGCCAUCUGGGACAACACUGACGCUGAGGCACGAAAGCGUGGGGAGCAAACAGGAUUAGAUACCCGUGUAGUCCCUGUCUCUUAUAC
rnacentral:rRNA from 1 species